rnacentral:rRNA from 1 species
UACAGAGGUCUCAAGCGUUGUUCGGAUUCAUUGGGCGUAAAGGGCGCGUAGGCGGCGCGGUAAGUCACUUGUGAAAUCUCUGAGCUUAACUCAGAACGGCCAAGUGGUACUGCAGUGCUAGAGUGUGGAAGGGGCAAUCGGAAUUCUUGGUGUAGCGGUGAAAUGCGUAGAUAUCAAGAGGAACACCUGAGGUGAAGACGGGUUGCUGGGCCAACACUGACGCUGAGGCGCGAAAGCCAGGGGGAGCAAACGGGG